AGAGUUUGAUCAUGGCUCAGGAUGAACGCUGGCGGCGUGCCUAAUACAUGCAAGUCGAACGGGUAUAGCAAUAUACUAGUGGCGACCGGGUGAGUAACGCGUAGCUGACCUGCCCCUCAGCGGGGGAUAACGUUUCGAAAGAGACGCUAAUACCGCAUACACUUGGGAGACUUAGAAACUCUCAAGGAAACUUCAGGGGUUGAGGGAGGGGGCUGCGGCCCAUCAGGUAGUUGGUGAGGUAAUGGCUCACCAAGCCAAUGACGGGUAGGGGGCCUGAGAGGGUGGUCCCCCACACUGGAACUGACACACGGUCCAGACUCCUACGGGAGGCAGCAGUAAGGGAUAUUGGUCAAUGGGCGAAAGCCUGAACCAGCAACGCCGCGUGCAGGAUGACGGCCUUCGGGUUGUAAACUGCUUUUGUCGGGGACGAGCAAGGACGGUACCCGACGAACAAGUCACGGCUAACUACGUGCCAGCAGCCGCGGUAAAACGUAGGUGGCAAGCGUUAUCCGGAUUUACUGGGCGUAAAGCAUGUGCAGACGGGUUGGUAAGUGGUGUAUGAAAGCGUUCGGCUUAACCGAGCAAGCGUAUGCCAGACUGCCAGUCUUGAGAGUGGGAGAGGGAUGUGGAAUUCCGGGUGUAGUGGUGAAAUGCGUAGAGAUCCGGAGGAACCCCAGAGGCGAAGGCGGCGUCCUGGCCC
rnacentral:rRNA from 1 species